CAGCAUGCCACGGUGAAUACGUUCCCGGGUCUUGUACACACCGCCCGUCACACCAUGGGAGCUGGUAACACCCGAAGUCAGUAGUCUAACCGCAAGGAGGACGCUGCCGAAGGUGGGAUUAGCGACUGGGGUGAAGUCGUAACAAGGUACC
rnacentral:rRNA from 1 species